AGAGUGAACGCUGGCGGCAGGCCUAACACAUGCAAGUCGAACGGCAGCACGAGAGAGCUUGCUCUCUUGGUGGCGAGUGGCGGACGGGUGAGGAAUACGUCGGAAUCUGCCUUUUUGUGGGGGAUAACGUAGGGAAACUUACGCUAAUACCGCAUACGACCUACGGGUGAAAGCGGAGGACCUUCGGGCUUCGCGCAGAAAGAUGAGCCGACGUCGGAUUAGCUAGUUGGAGGGGUAAUGGCCCACCAAGGCGACGAUCCGUAGCUGGUCUGAGAGGAUGAUCAGCCACACUGGGACUGGAGACACGGCCCAGACCUCCGACGGGAGGCAGCGAGUGGGAAUAGUUGGACAAGUGGGACGAAAGCCUAGAUCCGAGCCAAGUCGACCGCGUGCGAAGGAAGAAGGCCGUUGGGUUAGUAAC
rnacentral:rRNA from 1 species